rnacentral:rRNA from 1 species
AUGUCUACGCUUCAAGGUUGGGCAGACCUCCCAAAUGACUUGCUGUACUCUGUUGUUGCUCGGUUGGGAUCCUUCCCCGAUCUUCUUGCUUUCGCUGCAACCUGCCCGUCUUGGCGUGCUUCCAUUUCCUCAUAUCCCUCCAAAUCGACAUUGUUGCCACCUCUUCUCCUCCAACCUGGCGUCCCUGCAUGCUCUUCUCGCCCUCGCCCUCGCCCAUUGAGCAACAACCUUGUACUUAGACGCUCAUGCCAUGUUACUGAUCUUGCCAACAAAGACACCUACAUGUGCUGUCAGAUUCCCCAAUUUGCUUGUUUUUGUGACAGCAAAUCCCCAUCGGGUCCGCUGGAUGAAUUUUUUUUGGGGAGUGUGUCCUAUGGCCAUCUCGUCUUGGCCAACCGACAACAAUCAUGUCUUCUGGUUGAUGUCUUCACAGGUGUUAGUGUCUCAGCUCCGCAGCUACCCGUCAACGGACGCAUCCUCCUCAACUAUGCUGCCCUCACGGCUCCUCUUUCGUCACCCAACUCAUAUCUCCUUGUCAAUGUUGGGCGCCACAAUUUCUUUUCGCGUGAUGGUAGCGAUUCUUGGUUGAGACGUUCUCCUCGCAAUGGGACAUUUAAGAAGCUCGUGGUCUUCAAAGACCAGGUCUUUGGCAUGGAUCAUGAUCGCAUGCUCUAUAUCGUGCACUUGGAACCCCGGAUACGCAUACAGAAAAUAGCAGUUCAUCUGGAUGGAAGCAUGGCCAACAAAUGGCAUCUUAAGCAACCGUGGCUUGCCGCAUGUGGUGACAUGCUUCUCAUGGUCGGUUGUCAGAAACAUUCUCCAUCAACAGGGGACACUUUUGAAGCUUUCCGACUGGACGUAUCGACUGAACCUGCAAGGUGGGUAAAGGUGGAGAAGCUAGAAAACUGGGCGAUCUUCAUCAGUAUCGACAAGAGAAUCCAGCCCUUGUGUUGCAUGAACCCAGAGACAUGGGGAGGGAGAUGCAACUGUAUAUACUGCUGUAAUAGGAAAGAGUGGGUCGCAUUUGAGUUGGGCCAGCCGCCGCAGGGAGAUGCCUCCAAUCCAAAAGUUUAUAUUCACAUAAACUGUGGCAGUAUGAUGCAACCUACAUGGGUUGUGCCCAGUAUGUUCUAUUCGUGUCCGUGA